rnacentral:rRNA from 1 species
UACGAAGGGGGGCUAGCGUUGUUCGGAAUCACUGGGCGUAAAGCGCAUGCAGGCGGAUUGUUAAGUCCGUUGUGAAAGCCCUGGGCUCAACCUGGGAAUGGCAGUGGAUACUGGCGAGCUAGAGUGUGAUAGAGGAUGGUGGAAUUCCCGGUGUAGCGGUGAAAUGCGUAGAGAUCGGGAGGAACACCAGUGGCGAAGGCGGCCAUCUGGAUCAACACUGACGCUGAGGCACGAAAGCGUGGGGAGCAAACAGG